rnacentral:rRNA from 1 species
UGGCGGCAGGCUUAACACAUGCAAGUCGAGCGGGCGUAGCAAUACGUCAGCGGCAGACGGGUGAGUAACGCGUGGGAUCAUACCUUUUGGUUCGGAACAACACAGGGAAACUUGUGCUAAUACCGGAUAAGCCCUUACGGGGAAAGAUUUAUCGCCGAAAGAUUGGCCCGCGUCUGAUUAGCUAGUUGGAGGUAACGGCUCACCAAGGCGACGAUCAGUAGCUGGUCUGAGAGGAUGAUCAGCCACAUUGGGACUGAGACACGGCCCAAACUCCUACGGGAGGCAGCAGUGGGGAAUAUUGGACAAUGGGCGCGAGCCUGAUCCAGCCAUGCCGCGUGAGUGAUGAAGGCCCUAGGGUUGUAAAGUUCUUUUGUGCAGGAAGAUAAUGACGGUACCGCGAGAAUAAGCCCCGGCUAACUUCGUGCCAGCAGCCGCGGUAAUACGAAGGGGGCUAGCGUUGCUCGGAAUCACUGGGCGUAAAGGGUGCGUAGGCGGGUCUUUAAGUCAGGGGUGAAAUCCUGGAGCUCAACUCCAGAACUGCCUUUGAUACUGAAGAUCUUGGGCUCGGGAGAGGUGAGUGGAACUGCGAGUGUAGAGGUGUAAUUCGUAGAUAUUCGCAAGAACACCAGUGGCGAAGGCGGCUCACUGGCCCGAUACUGACGCUGAGGCACGAAAGCGU